GACAGAUCCAACAUCACAACGCCACACUACAACACAGGCAGACGGCGAUGGAGAGAAAGAGUCACAGGUGACAGCUCAGCCAUGUUGUAAUAGCUCAGACAAAGGCGAAGAGACAGGAGCACAGGUGGCAAUCAUGACACAUGAUACAGGGGAAGAUACAGGAGAAGAGUCAGGGUCAAAGGAAACUGGCACACCUGUAGUGAGCAUCAGGGAGAGCAGCAGUGAGAGUGACACCGGCAGUGAUGAAGAGCAGUGUAGUGGUGGUGAUAGUCUGG